rnacentral:rRNA from 1 species
UACGUAGGCAGCGAGCGUUGUUCGGAGUUACUGGGCGUAAAGGGUGUGUAGGCGGUUGUUUAAGUUUGGUGUGAAAUCUCCCGGCUCAACCGGGAGGGUGCGCCGAAUACUGAAUGACUAGAGUGUGGGAGAGGUGAGUGGAAUUCCUGGUGUAGCGGUGAAAUGCGUAGAUAUCAGGAGGAACACCGGUGGUGUAGACGGCUCACUGGACCAUAACUGACGCUGAGACACGAAGCGUGGGUAGCAAACAGG